rnacentral:rRNA from 1 species
UACGUAGGGCGCAAGCGUUGUCCGGAAUUAUUGGGCGUAAAGAGCUCGUAGGCGGUCCGUUACGUCGGGAGUGAAAACCCGGGGCUCAACCCCGGGCUUGCUUUCGAUACGGGCAGACUAGAGUAUGGCAGGGGAGACUGGAAUUCCUGGUGUAGCGGUGAAAUGCGUAGAUACCAGGAGGAACACCGGUGGCGAAGGCGGUUUCCUGGCCGAGUACUGACGCUGAGGCACGAAAGCGUGGGGAGCGAACGGG